GCUCCCAGCAGCCACAGCGACACAGACCCCGCCCUGUCAUCCAGAGACUCAUCCCGACUGCACAUCGUAUGGAGACCCCUUAUAUACAGAUCCAUCUCUACAAGUCCCGGAAUGUCUGAUUGUCACCAACACUAGAGCGGAUAUUACAGGACAAGAGCGGGAAAAGGUAUCUUCCGGACCAUGUGAUUUCCUACAUGAAAAAUGAUUGCCGACUGAUGACGCUGAAGAACCAGGGAGGAUACAUUUCUUUUCAAGUUCCCCAUUGUGAGAAACCACCAUGUAGGAGGAGAUGGGGCACUUUUCCUAUCCAGGGCUUCGAUACGCUCAGAUGAUAUGACUGGAAGAGGAAAUAAUGCAGAGUGUAAGUCAGGCUGCUCCUCUGCAUCUCUUGUGGAAGACAGGGUCCAGUCUCCCCAAUGGACGUCUUGUGAUAUACGUAGCGGAGCGAAGCCAUGACACACCGAGCCCUGCAGCUGUAUGAUCUAUGGGACCGCCAUGGGUACCAGGUACGCCCCAAGCUUUGGCAAUCUUUAUAUGAGGCACCUCACGGAUGAGCAUGUCUGUGGUGGCCCUUUCGGGUGGACCUGGUGUUCUAUGGCAGAUAGACAAUCCUCGGAUUACUGUCAGAUGAGCCAAAGUUCAGUAUUCCCGUUUGAGAACCACUGCGAUGCUUUGCAACCGAGAAGUACUGACAAUGAAAUGUUCCAGGCCUCGC